UGCCUGCUUCCCGGCUCGCUCGCUCGCUCGCUCUCCAGUCGCUCACCUGGUCACAACAGUUAUGCUCUGGAACAUUGGGGGAAAGGCACCAAAAUCGCUGUUACCAACGAUCUUCCCAAAGGACCAGACUUCCUCUAUGCUCUGCAGCCAUGUAAUCCCAGCAGCUCUGCAGGUCUUAUCAGCCUCGGCUGUGUCGCAGGCGGCGUCUCACCAGAGGAUUUUUUGAGCUUUAGCUGGCAGGGCAGCAGCGGUAACCAGCUGUCUGACAUUUAUCAGUACUCCGCGAUCAAGAACAAUGGAGUCAGCAUGGUGGUCAGUGAGAUCCGCGUCAAUGCGGCAGACUGGGGUGGUCAAACUCAUUAUGAAUGUGCUGCACGACACCAAUCCAGUGGAACGAAGCUAUCUGAGAGAAUAGGCAAGCCAGUUUCAACAGCAUCCCCAACCGUGAGUCUCGUGACUCUGCCCAGCGGGGAGAGCCGUGUAGAUGCUCUAAUGUGUGUCAUUCAGGACUUCCACCCCAAGA